rnacentral:rRNA from 1 species
CCUACGGGUGGCAGCAGUGAGGAAUAUUGGUCAAUGGACGCAAGUCUGAACCAGCCAUGCCGCGUGCAGGAAGACGGCUCUAUGAGUUGUAAACUGCUUUUGUACGAGGGUAAACCCAGAUACGCGUAUCUGCCUGAAAGUAUCUUACGAAUAAGGAUCGGCUAACCCCGUGCCAGCAGCCGCGGCACUACGGAGGAUUCAAGCGUUACCCGGAUUUAUUGGGUUGAAAGGGUGCGUUGGCGGUCGGAUAAGUUAGGGGUGAAAUCCCGAGGCUCAACUUCGGAAUUGCCUCUGAUACUGGUGGGCUAGAGAGUAGUUGCGGUAGGCGGAAUGUAUGGUGUAGCGGUAAAAUGCUUAGAGAUCAUACAGAACACCAGUGGCGAAGGCAGCUUACCAGGCCGCUUCUGACGUUGAGGCACGAAAGCGUGGGGAGCAAACAGGAUUAGAUACCCCUGUAGUC